CCUACGGGAGGCAGCAGUGAGGAAUAUUGGACAAUGGGCGCAAGCCUGAUCCAGCCAUGCCGCGUGCAGGAAGACGGUCCUAUGGAUUGUAAACUGCUUUUGUACAGGAAGAAACACUCCCUCGUGAGGGAGCUUGACGGUACUGUAAGAAUAAGGAUCGGCUAACUCCGUGCCAGCAGCCGCGGUAAUACGGAGGAUCCAAGCGUUAUCCGGAAUCAUUGGGUUUAAAGGGUCCGUAGGCGGUUUAAUAAGUCAGUGGUGAAAUCUGGUCGCUCAACGAUCAAACGGCCAUUGAUACUGUUAGACUUGAAUUAUUAGGAAGUAACUAGAAUAUGUAGUGUAGCGGUGAAAUGCUUAGAUAUUACAUGGAAUACCCAAUUGCGAAGGCAGGUUACUACUAAUGGAUUGACGCUGAUGGACGAAAGCGUGGGGAGCGAACAGGAUUUAGAUACCCUGGUAGUCCACGCCGUAAACGAUGGAUACUAGCUGUUCGGAGCAAUUCNGNGUGNAGAGAGAGANAGUAUACCACCNCGGAGAGUCGCGAGAGAGAAGACGAAGAAGUAGACGCGUGAGAGAGACGACGACGACGACGAGGGAGGAGG
rnacentral:rRNA from 1 species